rnacentral:rRNA from 1 species
GGCGGCAUGCCUAAUACAUGCAAGUCGAACGGGUCCAUGGGCUUGCUCAUGGACUAGUGGCGGACGGGUGAGUGACGCGUGGGAACCUGCCCAGCAGUGGGGAAUAACCGCGGGAAACUGCGGCUAAUACCGCAUACGCCCCUUCGGGGGGAAAGAUUUAUCGCUGUUGGAGGGGCCCGCGUCGGAUUAGCUAGUUGGCGGGGUAACGGCCCACCAAGGCUACGAUCCGUAGCUGGUCUGAGAGGAUGAUCAGCCACACUGGGACUGCGACACGGCCCAGACUCCUACGGGAGGCAGCAGUAGGGAAUAUUGGACAAUGGGCGCAAGCCUGAUCCAGCAAUGCCGCGUGAGUGAAGAAGGCCUUCGGGUUGUAAAGCUCUUUCACCCGUGACGGUGAUNACGGUGACGGGAGAAGAAGCCCCGGCUAACUCCGUGCCAGCAGCCGCGGUAAUACNGAAGGGGCAAGCGUUGUUCGGAAUUACUGGGCGUAAAGGGCGCGUA